rnacentral:rRNA from 1 species
AAUGAACGUUGGCGGCGUGGAUUAGGCAUGCAAGUCGAGCGUGAUAGGUUUGGUGCUUGCAUUAAACCUUGAAAGCGGCGAAAGGGACAGUAACGCGUAGAUACCUACCUCCAGGUCCGGGAUAGCGGCGGGAAACUGCCGGUAAUACCGGAUAAUGUCUUCGGACCAAAGGUGUGAUUCCGUCUGGGGAGGGGCCUGCGUCCUAUCAGCUAGUUGGUGGGGUAAUGGCCCACCAAGGCUAUGACGGGUAGCGGGUGUGAGAGCACGACCCGCAUCACUGGGACUGAGACACUGCCCAGACACCUACGGGUGGCUGCAGUCGAGAAUCUGCCGCAAUGGGCGCAAGCCUGACGGAGCGACGCCGCGUGCGGGAUGAAGGCCUUCGGGUUGUAAACCGCUGUCAGUGGGGAGGAAAUGCACGGUGGUUCUCCCUCGUGUUUGACCGAUCCGCAGAGGAAGCACAGGCUAAGUUCGUGCCAGCAGCCGCCGCGGUAA